UACGUAGGGCGCAAGCGUUGCCCGGAAUUAUUGGGCGUAAAGAGCUUGUAGGCGGUUUGUCGCGUCUGCUGUGAAAAUCCGGGGCUCAACCCCGGACUUGCAGUGGGUACGGGCAGACUAGAGUGUGGUAGGGGAGACUGGAAUUCCUGGUGUAGCGGUGAAAUGCGCAGAUAUCAGGAGGAACACCGAUGGCGAAGGCAGGUCUCUGGGCCACUACUGACGCUGAGAAGCGAAAGCAUGGGGAGCGAACAGG
rnacentral:rRNA from 1 species